GACGAACGCUGGCGGCGUGCUUAACACAUGCAAGCCGAACGGAAAGGCCCUGCUUGCAGGGUACUCGAGUGGCGAACGGGUGAGUAACACGUGGGUGAUCUGCCCUGCACUUCGGGAUAAGCUUGGGAAACUGGGUCUAAUACCGGAUAGGACCGCACUUUAGUGUGUGUGGUGGAAAGUUUUUUCGGUGUAGGAUGAGCUCGCGGCCUAUCAGCUUGUUGGUGGGGUAAUGGCCUACCAAGGCGGCGACGGGUAGCCGGCCUGAGAGGGUGUACGGCCACAUUGGGACUGAGAUACGGCCCAGACUCCUACGGGAGGCAGCAGUGGGGAAUAUUGCACAAUGGGCGCAAGCCUGAUGCAGCGACGCCGCGUGGGGGAUGAAGGCCUUCGGGUUGUAAACUCCUUUCGCUAGGGACGAAGCUUUUUGUGACGGUACCUAGAUAAGAAGCACCGGCUAACUACGUG
rnacentral:rRNA from 1 species